rnacentral:SRP_RNA from 1 species
GUCAAAGUUUGGUGGUGCCAACUUGUGACCGUAGUGUGGGCACGAAGGUGAUGGAACAAGGCUUUUGCUUAAAAGAUUAGGUUGGUUACUCCACCUUGCCGACCUUCCCGCUAUAAGUUAAGAGUUGGGUCAUGGGACUCGAGCGAAGGCAUGGGUGUUAUGGCGCUUAGACGUGAAGGUAUAGCGCAAGGCUAGUUUCAUAGAGCAACAAACACAUCCUACUUUUGACAGUGGAGGGAUCACAAGCUUUUGCACCUCUUGUCCACAACAAUUGGUGAGCUUAACUGUUAAACCAUCGCUUUU